rnacentral:rRNA from 1 species
AUACGUAGGGGGCGAGCGUUGUCCGGAAUGAUUGGGCGUAAGGGGCGCGUAGGCGGCCCGGUAAGUCUGGAGUGAAAGUCCUGUUUUUAAGAUGGGAAUUGCUUUGGAUACUGUCGGGCUUGAGUGCAGGAGAGGUAAGUGGACUUCCCAGUGCAGCGGUGAAAUGCGUAGAGAUUGGGAGGAACACCAGUGGCGCAGGCGACUUACUGGACUGUAACUGACGCUGAGGCGCGAAAGUGUGGGGAGCAAACAGGAUUAGAUACCCUGGUAGUCCACACUGUAAACGAUGAAUGCUAGGUGUAGGGGGUAUCGACCCCUUCUGUGCCGCAGUCAACACAAUAAGCAUUCCGCCUGGGGAGUACGGCCGCAAGGUUGAAACUCAAAUGAAUGGACGGGG